UACGUAGGGGGCAAGCGUUGUCCGGAAUUAUUGGGCGUAAAGAGCGUGUAGGCGGUUCGGUACGUCGGCUGUGAAAGUCCAGGGCUCAACCCUGGGAUGCCGGUCGAUACUGCCAGACUAGAGUUCGGUAGAGGCGAGUGGAAUUCCCGGUGUAGCGGUGAAAUGCGCAGAUAUCAGGAGGAACACCUAUGGCGAAGGCAGCUCGCUGGGACGUUACUGACGCUGAGACGCGAAAGCGUGGGGAGCAAACAGG
rnacentral:rRNA from 1 species